AGUUAAGCUACUACAACAGACUGAAGAAGCAGCCGUUCUCAGCUAGGAUGGCUGCCGACUCCAUGAGACCUGAAGUGGAGGAGCUGCAGAGGAGGGCCAAUCAGGUGACAGAUGAGUCCCUUGAGAUCACCAGAAACAUGAAGCUUCUGUUGGAGGAGGUGAGU